CGGAAACGUUAUCGGAUUACUGGGCGUAAAGCGCACGCAGGCGGUCUGUCAAGUCGGAUGUGAAAUCCCCGGGCUCAACCUGGGAACUGCAUUCGAAACUGGCAGGCUAGAGUCUUGUAGAGGGGGGUAGAAUUCCAGGUGUAGCGGUGAAAUGCGUAGAGAUCUGGAGGAAUACCGGUGGCGAAGGCGGCCCCCUGGACAAAGACUGACGCUCAGGUGCGAAAGCGUGGGGAGCAAACAGGAUUAGAUACCCUGGUAGCCCACGCCGUAAACGAUGUCGACUUGGAGGUUGUGCCCUUGAGGCGUGGCUUCCGGAGCUAACGCGUUAAGUCGACCGCCUGGGGAGUACGGCCGCAAGGUUAAAACUCAAAUGAAUUGACGGGGGCCCGCACAAGCGGUGGAGCAUGUGGUUUAAUUCGAUGCAACGCGAAGAACCUUACCUACUCUUGACAUCCAGAGAACUUUCCAGAGAUGGAUUGGUGCCUUCGGGAACUCUGAGACAGGUGCUGCAUGGCUGUCGUCAGCUCGUGUUGUGAAAUGUUGGGUUAAGUCCCGCAACGAGCGCAACCCUUAUCCUUUGUUGCCAGCGGUUAGGCCGGGAACUCAAAGGAGGCUGCCAGUGAUAAACUGGAGGAAGGUGGGGAUGACGUCAAGUCAUCAUGGCCCUUACGAGUAGGGCUACACACGUGCUACAAUGGCGCAUACAAAGAGAAGCGACCUCGCGAGAGCAAGCGGACCUCAUAAAGUGCGUCGUAGUCCGGAUUGGAGUCUGCAACUCGACUCCAUGAAGUCGGAAUCGCUAGUAAUCGUAGAUCAGAAUGCUACGGUGAAUACGUUCCCGGGCCUUGUACACACCGCCCGUCACACCAUGGGAGUCAAUUGCUCCAGAAGUCGGCGUGCCAACCGCAAGGAGGCAGCCGCCCAAGGAGUGAUUGGUGACUGGGGUGAAGUCGUAACAAGGUAACC
rnacentral:rRNA from 1 species